rnacentral:rRNA from 1 species
UACGUAGGGGGCAAGCGUUGUCCGGAAUUAUUGGGCGUAAAGAGCGUGUAGGCGGUCCGGUAAGUCAGCUGUGAAAGUCAAGGGCUCAACCCUUGAAAGCCGGUUGAUACUGUCGGGCUAGAGUCCGGAAGAGGCGAGUGGAAUUCCCGGUGUAGCGGUGAAAUGCGCAGAUAUCGAGAGGAACACCAAUGGCGAAGGCAGCUCGCUGGGACGGUACUGACGCUGAGACGCGAAAGCGUGGGGAGCAAACAGG